UACGGAGGGAGCUAGCGUUGUUCGGAAUUACUGGGCGUAAAGCGCGCGUAGGCGGCUUUGUAAGUUAGAGGUGAAAGCCCGGGGCUCAACCCCGGAACUGCCUUUAAGACUGCAUCGCUUGAAUCCGGGAGAGGUGAGUUGGAAUUCCGAGUGUAGAGGUGAAGUUCGUAGAUAUUCGGAAGAACACCAGUGGCGAAGGCGGCUCACUGGACCGGCAUUGACGCUGAGGUGCGAAAGCCAGGGGAGCAAACGGG
rnacentral:rRNA from 1 species